rnacentral:rRNA from 1 species
AUUGAACGCUGGCGGCAGGCCUAACACAUGCAAGUCGAGCGGUAACAUUUCAAAAGCUUGCUUUUGAAGAUGACGAGCGGCGGACGGGUGAGUAAUGGCUGGGAACCUGCCCUGACGUGGGGGAUAACAGUUGGAAACGACUGCUAAUACCGCAUGAUGUCUACGGACCAAAGAGGGGGAUCUUCGGACCUCUCGCGUCGGGAUGGGCCCAGUUGGGAUUAGCUAGUUGGUGAGGUAAUGGCUCACCAAGGCGACGAUCCCUAGCUGGUUUGAGAGGAUGAUCAGCCACACUGGAACUGAGACACGGUCCAGACUCCUACGGGAGGCAGCAGUGGGGAAUAUUGCACAAUGGGCGCAAGCCUGAUGCAGCCAUGCCGCGUGUGUGAAGAAGGCCUUCGGGUUGUAAAGCACUUUCAGCAGUGAGGAAGGUUGGUACGUUAAUAGCGUAUCAAUUUGACGUUAGCUGCAGAAGAAGCACCGGCUAACUCCGUGCCAGCAGCCGCGGUAAUACGGAGGGUGCGAGCGUUAAUCGGAAUUACUGGGCGUAAAGCGCAUGCAGGCGGUUUGUUAAGCAAGAUGUGAAAGCCCCGGGCUCAACCUGGGAACCGCAUUUUGAACUGGCAGGCUAGAGUCUUGUAGAGGGGGGUAGAAUUUCAGGUGUAGCG